GGCCUUCUUUUGUGGUUGUUUAUGUUUGCUUUCGGGUCCCCCUUUUUUUUUGGUAAGAUGCUUUCGGGUCCCUUUGCUAUACAAAUAUGGUAUGAAGCGAGGAAAAAACAUCCCACGAUACCUGUUUUCGAUACAAUGCAAGAUUGCAAGAUUUACUUGACCGAUGCUCAGAUUACUUGAUGUCUCGGUAUGACAGAACUGUAAUCUGUUAUACUGGAUGGGCAAUAUGGAAUGCAAGGAACGAACAGCUGUUCCAGAGGAAACAGAGCAAUCCCGUCCAGGUUUCACAGCUUGCCCAACGUCUUGCUGUUGAAUCUUAUGAGAAAAUUUCAGAGGACACUGGAUCUACAAAUCUGCAGCACUAGGGUACCAACAGCUUUAUGAGCUCUUCAACCCACCUUUAUAGGAUUGUCUCCUGGGUACCUCC
rnacentral:lncRNA from 1 species